AACGAACGCUGGCGGCAGGCUUAACACAUGCAAGUCGAGCGCCCCGCAAGGGGAGCGGCAGACGGGUGAGUUACGCGUGGGAAGCUACCCAUCUCUACGGAAUAACGCAUGGAAACGUGUGCUAAUACCGUAGACGUCCUUCGGGAGAAAGAUUUAUCGGAGAUGGAUGAGCCCGCGUUGGAUUAGCUAGUUGGUGGGGUAAAGGCCUACCAAGGCGACGAUCCAUAGUUGGUCUGAGAGGAUGAUCAGCCACACUGGGACUGAGACACAGCCCAGACUCCUCCGGAAGGUAGCAGUGGGGAAUAUUGGGCAAUGGGCGCAAGCCUGAUCCAGCCAUGCCGCGUGAGUGAUGAAGGCCCUAGGGUUGUAAAGCUCUUUCACCGGUGAAGAUAAUGACGGUAACCGGAGAAGAAGCCCCGGCUAACUUCGUGCCAGCCGCCGCGGUAAUAC
rnacentral:rRNA from 1 species